CCUACGGGAGGCAGCAGUGAGGAAUAUUGGUCAAUGGGCGGAAGCCUGAACCAGCCACGUCGCGUGAGGGAUUAAGGCCCUGCGGGUCGUAAACCGCUUUUGCCGGGGAGCAGAGGUCCGGACGUGUCCGGGCCGGGAGAGUACCCGCAGAAAAAGCAUCGGCUAACUCCGUGCCAGCAGCCGCGGUAAGAAGGAGGAUGCGAGCUUUAUCCGGAUUUAUUGGGUUAAAAGGGUGCGUAGGCGGGCGUUUAGGCCGGCGGUCAAAUGUCGGGGCUCAACCCCGGCCUGCCGUCGGAACUGGGUGCAUUGAGUGUGCGAGAAGUAUGCGGAAUGCGUGGUGUAGCGGUGAAAUGCAUAGAUAUCACGCAGAACCCCGAUUGCGAAGGCAGCAUACCGGCGCCCUACUGACGCUGAGGCACGAAAGUGCGGGUAUCGAACAGGAUUAGAUACCCGUGUAGUC
rnacentral:rRNA from 1 species